CACAGAUUUUUACAAUUAAACACAUGGCCCUCUGACCAAACAGAGUAUUGCCUAAGGAGAGUUUGGCUGGUGUAAGACAGGCAUGUUACUGAAAGGCGGAUGCUCUUUCCUCCUCUUCUUUCUCAAGUUUUAUUAGUCACAGAUGAUUUGGUCCUGUUAUAGGAGCCGAGGAUACUGCCUGAACAGAAUGGAAGACUCUGUCUGUCUGUCUGAAUGGAAGUCUGUCUGUAGGCAGACAGACCUGAAAUAUAGAGGAGAUGCUGGUACCGUGGAGGACUAUAAACCAGGAAGGACCAUACAGACUGCUGCGUGGAGAAUAGACCCCACGGGGGUGAAGGUCGAAGCUUGAAGACACAGCAGCUGCCCAAGCAGGGUGGACUUGAGCGAGAGUCGUGGAGGUGAUAGAAGUGGUCAGAUUCUGUAUCUUGGUAUAGGUAGGAGAGAAACCAAUAUUCAGAAAGCCAGAUAUUCAGGAGGAGCCUUAUUUGGCAAGGGUAUCCACUACUUUUCCCCGACAAUAAAAAGUUCAUGGGGAGAUGAAUUAGUGAAGCCAUCAGUGGGGCCAAUUAGUUUCAUUCGUUUUGCAUUUUUUAUCUUCAGUGAGGUAAAUGUUCUAUUUGUUUGUGAAAUGAAAGUUUGAGCUCUUAGAGUUUACCCCUGUAGAACUUAGUUCUACCACCUUUAGUCCCAUUCCUGUCCCGUACAUAUUCCUAUUUCAAAAUUACAGACAGAUUUCUUUCCCGUCAAGUUCUUUAUUCAGCCUUCACCUAAAUAAACAUACAACCAAUUCAGCCUCUUCGUUCCUAACUGCAGUGCUGGUUGAAAUCAGAUAUGACACCUUUAGUCUCAGAAUCAUCUAGCAUCAGACCCCCUUCUCCUCCAUUAUCAUUAGCAUUCUUUGCAUUCUUUAAGAAAAAUAUUUCUGCAAACACUUGUUUGGUUUUAUACUUUCCUAGUUCAAUUUAGAUUUAGAAAGUUAUGUCUGUCAUACGAGCAAAUGUUUUUGCUUAGAAUAGAAAUAGAAGGACUAGUUAUAAAAGGUUUCUUUAAUGAUAGUAAGAAAAGCGAAACUUCCCAGGGUGAAAGCCACUUGGAGCCUGCCCAUGUGCCUUCUAAUCUUAGAGAACCUCCAGAGAAUUAUGGAAGUGUUUUCUUGGUAAAC